GUGUAUUUGUGGAGGAGGACUUU
rnacentral:piRNA from 1 species